UACGUAGGGGGCGAGCGUUGUCCGGAGUUACUGGGUUUAAAGGGUGCGUAGGUGGGUUCGUAAGUCAGUGGUGAAAUCUCCGAGCUUAACUUGGAAACUGCCAUUGAUACUAUGAGUCUUGAAUAUUGUGGAGGUCAGCGGAAUAUGUCAUGUAGCGGUGAAAUGCUUAGAUAUGACAUAGAACACCAAUUGCGAAGGCAGCUGGCUACGCAUAUAUUGACACUGAGGCACGAAAGCGUGGGGAUCAAACAGG
rnacentral:rRNA from 1 species